AUCGAAAUAGCUCAGUUGGGAGAGCGUUAGACUAUAGAUCGGAAAGUCCUAUAUUCGAUCCCGGGUUCUGGCA
rnacentral:tRNA from 1 species